CCUCAUCCUACAUACGAAAGUACUCAUCGCUGUGCACGCACACGGCGGACCGUCCCUCCCCUCCACCAGAUCGACGCGAGAGAGGGAGUGCAAUACAGUGGAUGCUAUGCAGGUACACACACACACACACACACACGCACGGAGGACGGUGCAUCAAGCUGACCCCCUCCACCCCUCCUCCUUACUCGUAUCUCUCUCUCCAACUUUGAGGAGCGUGUCCAAAUCUAUAAAUACAUGCGUGUGCGUGUGUGUGUGUGCCGGAUGCCGAGUCCUCUCGCCCGUUCGCAAAACAAAGUCGUUUGCCACGAUACGUGCGUGCAUCGGCUUGUCGCCACCCCGUGAACAGGCAAGCGGGCCACAAAACGGCACGACGAUGCUCACCAGUGCCGUCACCACCUUGUGCGUAUCGAAGGUCCAUCUUCUUUCUCCUCUCAACACCCUACUUUCGCCUUCGAACCUUCCUGCGCCUUCUUCCAUAUGCGCGCACUACCAACGACGCAAUCACGUCCUUGGUACGCACUUCUACACCGACACGCACAAAACACGUGUGUGCCCACACGCGCACACGAAG
rnacentral:misc_RNA from 1 species